GAUGAACGCUGGCGGCGUGCCUAAUACAUGCAAGUCGAGCGAACAGACGAGAAGCUUGCUCCUCUGACGUUAGCGGCGGACGGGUGAGUAACACGUGGAUAACCUACCUAUAAGACUGGGAUAACUUCGGGAAACCGGAGCUAAUACCGGAUAAUAUUUUGAACCGCAUGGUUCAACAGUGAAAGACGGUCUUGCUGUCACUUAUAGAUGGAUCCGCGCUGCAUUAGCUAGUUGGUAAGGUAACGGCUUACCAAGGCAACGAUGCGUAGCCGACCUGAGAGGGUGAUCGGCAACACUGGAACUGAGACACGGUCCAGACUCCUACGGGAGGCAGCAGUAGGGAAUCUUCCGCAAUGGGCGAAAGCCUGACGGAGCAACGCCGCGUGAGUGAAGAAGGUCUUCGGAUCGUAAAACUCUGUUAUUAGGGAAGAACAAAUGUGUAAGUAACUAUGCACGUCUUGACGGUACCUAAUCAGAAAGCCACGGCUAACUACGUG
rnacentral:rRNA from 1 species